GUAGGGGCCGAGCGUUGUCCGGAAUUAUUGGGCGUAAAGGGCGCGUAGGCAGUCUUGUAAGUCAGAUGUUAAAUCCAUCCGCUCAACGGGUGGCCGCAUCUGAUACUGCUUGACUAGAGAGUGGUAGAGGAAAGCGGAACUACCGGUGUAGCGGUGAAAUGCGUAGAUAUCAGGAGGAACACCGGUGGCGAAGGCGGCUUCCUGGACCACAACUGACGCUGAGGCGCGAAAGCUAGGGUAGCAAACAGGAUUAGAUACCCUGGUAGUCCUAGCUGUAAACGAUGGAUACUUGCUGUGGGGGGUGUUAAAUCCCCCUGUGGCGAAGCUAACGCGUUAAGUAUCCCGCCUGGGGAGUACGGUCGCAAGGCUG
rnacentral:rRNA from 1 species